rnacentral:rRNA from 1 species
AGCGUAGGCGGCGCGGUAAGUCAGAUGUGAAAUCCCGGGGCUCAACCCCGGAACUGCAUCCGAUACUGCCGUGCUUGAGCAAUGGAGAGGUAGCUGGAAUUAUCGGUGUAGCAGUGAAAUGCGUAGAUAUCGAUAGGAACACUCGUGGCGAAAGCGAGCUACUGGACAUUUGCUGACGCUGAGGCUCGAAGGCUAGGGGAGCGAAAG